ACAUGCAGAAACAGGGCGUGGCCAUGGGGUCAAAUGUGGCCCCAACCUAUGCCAAAAUAUUCAUGCACCGGUUUGAGGAGGAUGUCGUCUAUGGAUGCCACUAUUUUCGUCACGUAACCUACAGACAGGAAAACGAUGUUGGCGUACAGCAGUAAUCACCCCAGACCAAUGAUGAUGUGUCACGGAGAUUAGCGAGGAGAAGACAGAGGUUGAUUCAAGAGUUUGUGUCCUGGUUACCAUGACAAUAUGCAAAUGGUCUAUAUAAUCUUUUUUGACAGUUAUGUAUUUAUUCAUUCAUUGCCGGUGAGCCCUUAUGGAGGAGAACACUCUGAAUUGAUGGUGAUAUAUGGGAUUAGGAUGUGGAUGUGACAUGACCCUGCAUUGACGUGCAGGCUUGUGUUCAGUCCAUGCCCACAGAGGAGGGCUCCAUGUCUGUUCAGGGUAUGGAUGCGCUCAUUUGGUCCCAUACAGCCACCCCCCACAUUAGUUGCAGGUAGCUCAUUAAUAGAGCUCUGCAUUGGGACUCACUGGCUGGUUUGAUUUGGUCAUCAUGAUGUGCGACACGCAUGAUGGUUCAUGCGAUAUUCCCUUAUUCAAUAUGGUCGCUUAGGCAUCCAGAACAUAGGGCCCAGACGCACAGACACGCCUGUCAUAUUGUUAAGAUGAAAGCAGCAUACGUCAUCCUGACAUGCGCACUGCCGCAUGGGGCAUGCCGAAGCAGGCGAUGGGUAACUGGACGCCGCCAUACUCCUGGUUUCUCUUCCCUCUUUUCUCUUUUUGAUACAUCAUGUAGUAAGCACUCACUUUAGUUAAUUGAGUACAUAUGACACACAAUCAUGUUAUUUAUAAUAAUUUAUAUAUUUGCAUUGAGAAUCAUGGUUGUUUUAAUGUUUUUGUUGCACAUGGAACA